ACCUACGGGACGCAGCAGUAGGGAAUCUUCCACAAUGGGCGAAAGCCUGAUGGAGCAACGCCGCGUGGGUGAAGAAGGUCUUCGGAUCGUAAAACCCUGUUGUUAGAGAAGAACGUGUGUGAGAGUGGAAAGUUCACACAGUGACGGUAACUUACCAGAAAGGGACGGCUAACUACGUGCCAGCAGCCGCGGUAAUACGUAGGUCCCGAGCGUUAUCCGGAUUUAUUGGGCGUAAAGCGAGCGCAGGCGGUUGGAUAAGUCUGAAGUUAAAGGCUGUGGGUCAACCAUAGGAUGCUUUGGAAAAU
rnacentral:rRNA from 1 species